rnacentral:rRNA from 1 species
UUUGGAGGUAGUGACAAUAAAUCACAAUGCGGGACUAUACGUCUUGCAAUUGGAUUGAGAACAAUGUACAACUCUUAUCGAUAAGCCAUUGGAGGGCAAGUCUGGUGCCAGCAGCCGCGGUAAUUCCAGCUCCAAUAGCGUAUAUUAACGUUGUUGCAGUUAAAAAGCUCGUAGUUGAAGUGUGGGUGAUCGCUGUUGUGAGACUUCGGUCUCUCGACAGUAAGUCACCCCCUUCCAGUAUCCAGUAGUGGGUAUUCAGUUACUUACUAUUGUGUGUUGGUCGUUUACUGUGAGAAAAUUAGAGUGUUCAAAGCAGGCGUUUGCUUGAAUAGAUUAGCAUGGAAUAAUAAUUGAAGGCUUUCGUGUUCGAUUUGAUUGGUUUGUUCAUGGAAGCAAGGUUAAAAGGAACAGUUGGGGGUAUUCAUAUUCACUAGUUAGAGGUGAAAUUCUCGGAUUUAUGGAAGAUGAACAAGUGCGAAAGCAA